rnacentral:rRNA from 1 species
CGGAAGGAUCAUUACCGAGAGAAGGGUUCCGGCCCUUGGUGCGUAGCGCCUAACUCUUCACCCUGUGUUUACCAACCUUUGUUGCUUUGGCGGGCUGAAGGCUGGCCCCGCGCUUUUGCAUGCGCCCGUCAAAGACCCCUAAAAAAUCAUUGUAUAAGUGUAGUCUGAGCUUCAAAGCAAAUCAAUUAAAACUUUCAACAACGGAUCUCUUGGUUCUGGCAUCGAUGAAGAACGCAGCGAAAUGCGAUAAGUAAUGUGAAUUGCAGAAUUCAGUGAAUCAUCGAAUCUUUGAACGCACAUUGCGCCCCUUGGUAUUCCGAGGGGCAUGCCUGUUCGAGCGUCAUUGCAACCCUCAAGCUCUGCUUGGUAUUGAGCGCUCGCCUUCCCAUCGUAGGGGCGGCGUGCUCGAAAAAUAGCGGCGGUCCUGGAAGACUUCAAGCGCAGUAAUGCCGUCGCUUCGGAAGCUUUCUGCCCGGGACUCGGCCGAGAAGCCCUUACGAUUUUCAAUGAUUGACCUCGGAUCAGGCAGG